GCGCCUCCCUCCGGUCCCCAGCUCCGCAGAUCCACCCGGCAGCCGCCGCCCUGCAAGCAGCGCGCCUGCACGCGCGGUCGGCGGCUCCACCCGCCGCCCUGUGCGGUUGCGGCCCAGGCCGCGUGCUGUCGGGCGCUGGCCCGCUGUGGUGCCGCUCGUCGCCUCCCAUCGGCCCGGCGGCCACUGCAGCAGGCGCGCGGCAGGCGACAGCCCGCAGCCAGGCAGGGGCCAGCGUACCUGACCCCUCAGCCGACCGCCCGACUCGCCGAGUCCCCCACGCCGACGGCCACUAGUUGCAGCAGGCGCACGGCAGGAGCCAGUGGCAUCCCGCAAUCCACACCCCCAAUUCGGCCUACCCUAGUUCCAAAUCCUGGUUCCACCACUGCUGAUUAAGGUUGGCUUCCUAAAGAUUUUUUUGGAGAUUGCCCACCAUGACGAGUCCACCUAGGGUGAGCAUGGAGAUCACUGACGAGAUGCUCAAGAGCAUGGAGGUUGGCCUGGCCUUCCGGGAUUACGUCUCCAAAUCAAUAGCCCUCGGGAUUCCUAUGGUGGCGCAGUAAGCAGAAGCCAGCUCGUCCCUCCCCUUCUCUCUUCCCUUCGCUCCUCGUGUCGCCACAACACCGAUCCUCCUUCAGCCUAGUGGAGUAGGGAUCCAUCCAGCCCGACCUGGAUUUGGUUCCUUCUGCUGCUCCCGAUUUGAACCCAUCCAUCCUAGCCUUGAUUUGUUUAUUCCUUCUCAUGGAUCUUCUUUGGUGCUUAAGGCUAUAUCCUUGGUAGCUGAUUGAUUAAGGUGCAGCUCCAAUUUCUUUUCCAAAGAUUUUGAGCGAUUUGCUGCCAUGAUGGGUCCAUGCUGGGUGACCAUGGAGAUCACAAACGAGGUGUUCAAGAGCAUGAAGAUCGGGCUGGCCUUCCAAGGCUAUAAUGGCAGAAUUAGUUCUAUGGAUUUUCAUAGCAAGGCUACGAACUAUCUUGUGACAGCCAGUGAUGAUGAAUCAAUCCGCCUGUACGACACUCAAAAUGCAGUAUGUUUGAAGACUAUUAAUAGCAAAAAAUAUGGGGUUGAACUUGUGUGCUUCACUGAUAACCCAACUCUUGUCUUAUAUUCAUCAAAAAAUGGCUGGGAUGGUAAGUCUUGUUUUAUGUUAACGUAGGAGUGAUUUAUGUCAUAUACUGAAAAGAAGUAAAAAUGAAGGGCGGGCCUGGUGCAGCGGUAGAGUCUACCGUCUGUAUCUGGAAGGUCUCAGGUUCGAGAUCCAGCCUCUGCACAUUUGUGCGUGAAAGGCUUAGUGCUUAAAACAACCCUUCCCUAGACCCCGCGCAGUGCGGGAAGCCUACGGCACUGGAUACGCCCUUUUAGUGAAAAGAAGUAAAAAUGCAGAGUCUCUGCGACUACUCUCACUGAAUGAUAACCGGUUUGUUAGAUAUUUUAAAGGCCACCUUGACAGGUAUGCCACACUAACUUUGAAUAAAUUGUGGAUUUGUGGUCAAUAUUUCCUUUGUGCUAAUGCCAAUGGAGGAUACUAAUCUGCUCCAUUUUGUCCAGGGUUGUCUCUAUCUCAUUUUGCUCUGAGAAAGAAAAUUUUAUCUCUGGUUCACUUGAUCGAACCGUUCUCUUAUGGGAUCAGCGGGCUGAAAAAUCACAGGGCUUACUGCGUGUGCAAGGGAGGCCUGCAGUUUCAUAUGAUGAUCAGGGCAUGGUAUUUGCAGUUGCCUAUGGUGGUCACAUAAGAAUGUUUGAUGCUCGAAAAUUUGAAAAGGGGCCUUUUGAGAUCUUCGCUGUUGGUAAUGAGGAUUCAGAAGCUCAUGUCAUAAAGUUCAGCAGUGAUGGCAGGCGGAUUCUGUUGACCACCAAAGCUGGGCGUGUUCAUGUGAUAGAUUCAUUCCAUGGCAACAGCAUCGCAUCGUACAAUGUGAAACCAGUGGUAACCACCAAUUCAAUGCUGGAGGCAUCGUUCAGUCCUGAUGGAAACCAUAUCAUAUCUGGCUCUGGUGAUGGCAGUGUUUAUGCCUGGAAUGUUAGGAGUGGAAAGGUUGCUCGCUGGGGAAGCACAGAUAAUGAACCGCCGCUAGUAAGGUGGGCUCCAGGAUCCUUGAUGUUUGUGACAGGAUCAUCCGAACUGUCCUGCUGGGUUCCGGAUCUGUCCAAGCUGGGAUCCUUUAGCGUUACCAAGUAGCUGGAAACUAUAAGAGGUGGACUUCCCUUGCAAGGCCCGCUUGUCUCUGAGAUUCUUCCUUGUGGCCCAGUUGAUGUGGUUCAUUAGUAUCAGGAUAUUAUCUAUAUUCCCUAACCACCUUCUCAUCCUUGGUACCCAUCUGGCUUUGUUAACCUGUUAUAAUUGAAUGGGCUCUUAAGCCAUCAGCUGCGAAUGAGGAACUAUAGGCAAAGCAUCUGUCUGCAUGACUUUGAUCGUUAGGUGUUUCUUGAUAGCAAUA